CAGCCGCCGCGGUAAUACCGGCGGCCCGAGUGGCGGCCACUAUUAUUGGGCUUAAAGCGUCCGUAGCCGGGUUGGUUAGUCUCCCGGGAAAUCUGGCCGCUUAACGGUCAGAAUUCCGGGAGAUACUGCCAGCCUAGGGACCGGGAGAGGCCGAGGGUAUUCCCGGAGUAGGGGUGAAAUCCUAUAAUCCCGGGAGGACCACCUGUGGCGAAGGCGCUCGGCUGGAACGGGUCCGACGGUGAGGGACGAAGGCCAGGGGAGCAAACCAGAUUAGAUACCCGGGUAGUCCUGGCUGUAAACGAUGCGGACUUUGUGUCGGACAAGCUAUGAGCUUGUCCGGUGCCGGAGGGAAACCGUUAAGUCCGCCGCCUGGGGAGUACGGCCGCAAGGCUGAAACUUAAAGGAAUUGGCGGG
rnacentral:rRNA from 1 species